rnacentral:rRNA from 1 species
AUUGAACGCUGGCGGAAUGCUUUACACAUGCAAGUCGAACGGCAGCACGGGGGAAGCCCUGGUGGCGAGUGGCGAACGGGUGAGUAAUACAUCGGAACGUGCCCGGUCGUGGGGGAUAACGUAGCGAAAGUUACGCUAAUACCGCAUACGAUCUGAGGAUGAAAGCGGGGGACCUUCGGGCCUCGCGCGAUCGGAGCGGCCGAUGUCAGAUUAGGUAGUUGGUGGGGUAAAGGCCUACCAAGCCGACGAUCUGUAGCUGGUCUGAGAGGAUGACCAGCCACACUGGGACUGAGACACGGCCCAGACUCCUACGGGAGGCAGCAGUGGGGAAUUUUGGACAAUGGGCGCAAGCCUGAUCCAGCCAUGCCGCGUGCAGGACGAAGGCCUUCGGGUUGUAAACUGCUUUUGUACGGAACGAAAAGGCUCUGGCUAAUACCUGGGGCUCAUGACGGUACCGUAAGAAUAAGCACCGGCUAACUACGUG